CGGCCGUCCUUCGUGGGCAAAUUUUGGCAUCAAAGUCUGGCAUUCUCUGGAUUUACGGUGCUUUCAAGACAACUGGGAACUCUGGAAAAAAAUCAAGGUCGAAUCAUGAUGACAAUGGGUCCUUGGCGGAAGAAGGAGCGCCAAGAAAAUAUGAAUUACGCAGGUUGCACAAGCCAGUGGCACCAUCUGCUGUUCGACUGCUUUGGCAGGUGACUGUGGCAUUGUGAAAUAGCAGGGGAUGGAGCCAUAGAGGAGGACGUCUAGAUGAUGCCAACUCCUUCAUAUGCUAAAUGUAUGAAAGAAAGCCUAUAAUACCAAUAUAUGAUAAACUAUGAAAACAAAUGAUCCAUCUUCCUCCUCGAUAUGGAAACGAACGACGAAGACAACGCAUAGCGAAGUCCAGGACUACUCAAGGUGAAGUGCUGGAUGCCAAUUAUAUUUUCACCGACUAUAAUGCCCGAGAUAAACAAACUGACGGCCCAGCUGACUGCUAAAGGUGAAGUUAUCGCAAACUUGAAAGACGUAAACAAGGAUCUGCAAUGUGGAAGUGACUGAAAAGGAUAAACGUCAGUCUCAUGAUCAAAAGGUGUCUACAUCUCAGGGAGUGACGAGGAAGGAGAUGAUGAUUAUGAUGACAGCUCCUCCGAUGAGAAGGCAACCCAUGAGGAAGAAGCGCAACCUCUUCGUCUCAUAUGUAUCUCUCUCUGUGUCUUUGUCUCUCCAUCCAUCCCUUCAACAUUUCACAUGUAUUACCACACAUUUUUGGGGGGAAAUUUUUCUAGAUUUACUUUGUUUUAUCUGCGAGGUUUGAUUUUGUUCAGGUUAUUGGGUAAUGUCUUGCAGGGAUAGAAAACCAGCGAUCACUCCACUGAUUUAUUUGCCCAUCAUAGUAUCUACAAUGGCGGCGUACUUGAUCAAGUAUCUGUUUUUUUUUGUUUAUGUUAUAUAGUAUAACGUUGACUCCGUGUUUUAUACAGUUACCUAACUGGUAUUCUAUUUUGUCGGGGGUUAACCCCUUACACUCGUGGAAAUUGACCUAUGUGGAUAGGGCCAAAUGAAAAUGUUUUUAACAGAAGAACCAUAAAAAGAAUAUACAUUGCCUUCGGAAAGUAUUCAGAUCCCUUGACUUUUUCCACAUUUUGUUACGUUACAGCCUUAUUCAAAAAUCAAAUAAAAAAAUAUCCUUUGCAAUCUACACCCAAUACCCAAUAACGACAAAGCGAAAAUAGAUGUUUUGAUUUUUUUGAAAAUGUAUUAAAAAUAAAACAGAAAUACCUUAUAAUGUUCAUGUUUACAAUGGCUGACACUUAAAUAACGUGCCAUAGAAUUCUGCGGCACCAUGCAAGCUGUGCUACAGUACGCUGCAACUUUUAAAGGAUGAACCACUAUAUAAAGCAUCCUUCACUCAUGCUGCCAAACAUACCCUUGUAAAACUGACCAUCCUACCAAUCCUCGACUUUGGCGAUGUCAUUUACAAAAUAGCCUCCAAUACCCUACUCAACUAAUUGGAUGCAGUCUAUCACAGUGCAAUCCGUUUUGUCACCAAAGCCCCAUAUACUACCCACCAUUGCGACCUGUACGCUCUCGUUGGCUGGCCCUCGCUUCAUACUCGUCGCCAAACCCACUGGCUCCAUGUCAUCUACAAGACCCUGCUAGGUAAAGUCCCCCCUUAUCUCAGCUCACUGGUCACCAUAGCAUCUCCCACCUGUAGCACACGCUCCAGCAGGUAUAUCUCUCUAGUCACCCCCAAAACCAAUUAUUUCUUUGGCCGCCUCUCCUUCCAGUUCUCUGCUGCCAAUGACUGGAACGAACUACAAAAAUCUCAAACUGGAAACACUUAUCUCCCUCACUAGCUUUAAGCACCAACUGUCAGAGCAUCUUAUAGAUUACUGCACCUGUACAUAGCCCACCUAUAAUUUAGCCCAAACAACUACCUCUUUCCCAACUGUAUUUCAUUAAUUUAUUUAUUUUGCUCCUUUGCACCCCAUUAUUUUUAUUUCUACUUUGCACAUUCUUCCAUUGCAAAACUACCAUUCCAGUGUUUUACUUGCUAUAUUGUAUUUACUUUGCCACCAUGGCCUUUUUUGCCUUUACCUCCCUUCUCACCUAAUUUGCUCACAUUGUAUUGUUUAUACUGUAUUAUUGACUGUAUGUUUGUUUUACUACAUGUGUAACUCUGUGUCGUUGUAUCUGUCGAACUGCUUUGCUUUAUCUUGGCCAGGUCGCAAUUGUAAAUGAGAACUUGUUCUCAACUUGCCUACCUGGUUAAAUAAAGGUGAAAUAAAUAAAAUAAAUAUAUCAAAAGCAGCACUAAGGUCUAGGAGGACAGAUGCAGAGCCUUGGUCUUAUUCCAUUAAAUGGUCAUUUACCACC